UGAAACAAACCUUUCCCCCAAACGUAGGAGUUUGUUGGUGCCACAAUUGUCCCAUCCAGCUGCAAGAAAAGGAGCUUAGAACUUCUGAAUCUCAUAUUGUCAACCUUCAGUCUAAGCAAAACAGCAAUUUUGCUCACCUGGAAGGUGAUACUUUUCUGACAGUACGGCCCGGCGAAAGAAAUCGGUCCAACUAGGAAUUGAUAUCCCUCUGGAACAAACAUCACUGAUUUCUCAACUUUACAAGCAGCCGCCCAUGUAGCCUGGAAUGCCUGCAAUCAAGAAUCCACCACAUUUUGCUCAUCAGAAUUUGGCAUACUACUAGAAGUUGCUGCUGGGUUUCAACCGUCUGAACCACAAGCCUAACGAUAAAUCAUUAAUUGUUGAAGCUGGACCCCUCAGCCUACAGGUACCAACUUUUGGUUUUUUCUGUCCUGUCGCUUUCAUUUUUUACCUUUCCAUUGUCAUAUUAAUGCAUAUCCUACUAUAAAUGACUCUAAAUUAUAUAUUUAACUGCACUUUAAUAUCAUGUCUCAAACUCACGGGUCUAAACUUGGUGGUGGUUCCUAUACUCUUGUUAAUCAUUGGAAAGAACUAUGAAACGUGAAUUAGCUAAAAAAACAUUUUAGUUGACCAAAUGGACAACCGAACAACCAACUUAUCUGACAAAAACUCAGCUUUGCCACUAGUUUACUGUUCUGUCAUCAGUAUGUCUUUUGGAAUCGCUAAUGUGGUCAAAUUUAGUCAAAUAACUGCAUAACUUCAUCAUGGAGUUAACCCCUAGGUUCAUCAUGGAUAUAUAGAUGGAGAAAUUGAGUAAAAGUUAAUGAUGAUGGAAGAAGGAAAAUUGAACCUUUGUGUCGUCACACUUGCCAUCUCCCUUUGCGCCAAAAUCGAGCACAUUGAAGGUGAGAGAAUCUUUCUGAGGUCCCGUAGAACUAGGAGGAGGUGGUGAUGCAGCAGGAACCUGCUUAGGUGGUUGAAUUGGAGCAGGAGG
rnacentral:lncRNA from 1 species